GAAUAUUGGGCAAUGGGCGAAAGCCUGACCCAGCAACGCCGCGUGAGUGAAGAAGGCUUCCGGGUUGUAAAGCUCUGUUAUAGGGGACGAAGGAAGAGACGGUACCCUAUUAGGAAGCCCCGGCUAACAACGAGCACGCAGACGCGGUAAUACGGAGGGGGCGAGCGUUGUCCGGAAUGACUGGGCGUUAAGGGCGUGUAGGCGGCCUGUUAAGUCUGGAGUGAAAGUCCUGCUUUCAAGGUGGGAAUUGCUUUGGAGACUGGGGGGCUUGAGUGCGGAAGAGGUAAGUGGAAUUCCCAGUGUAGCGGUGAAAUGCGUAGAGAUUGGGAGGAACACCAGUGGCGAAGGCGACUUACUGGGCCGUAACUGACGCUGAGGCGCGAAAGCGUGGGGAGCGAACA
rnacentral:rRNA from 1 species